AACGCUGGCUUCAUGCCUAACAGAAGACAAGUCGAACGCGUGGAGCGAUCCACGAGUGGCGCAUGGUGUUCCCACGCGUGGGAACCUGCCCUGCAGUGUGGGAUAACCCGGCCAAAGCCGGGAUAAAACCGCCUACCCCCUUGGCUCGAGCCUUGGGGAAAGAUUUAUCGCUCUUGGAUGGGCCCGCGUCAGAUUACCUACUUGGCGGGGUAACGGCCCAUCAAUGCGACGAUCCCUACCUGGGCAUAGAUGACGAUCAUCCACUCUGGGACUGAAACACUGCCCACACUCCUACUGGAGGCAGCAUUGGGA
rnacentral:rRNA from 1 species